GAGCGUAAUAAAGGAAAGCGUUCCUAAACGACUCAAUUGGAUCAUAUAAGAAGGAAUAAUCACAUUAGGGGUUUGACAUGAAAUAUCCAUACCCUAAUGAUGUGAUUGAGAGUAUUGUAUUAGAGAAGGAUUGAAUUACAUUGUAAUUCCAACUGACUAGGUUCUUUGAAUAAACUUCUACAUUAGCUUGGUAGCUAUGACAUAUGGUUA
rnacentral:lncRNA from 1 species